rnacentral:rRNA from 1 species
UACGAAGGGGGCGAGCGUUGUUCGGAAUUACUGGGCGUAAAGGGCGCGUAGGCGGCGACUCAAGUUAGAUGUGAAAGUCCUGGGCUUAACCUGGGGACUGCAUUUGAUACUGGGUUGCUUGAAUUCGGGAGAGGAUAGCGGAAUUCCCAGUGUAGAGGUGAAAUUCGUAGAUAUUGGGAAGAACACCGGUGGCGAAGGCGGCUAUCUGGACCGACAUUGACGCUGACAGCGCGAAAGCCAGGGGAGCAAACGGGG